GAGGUCUCCGCCGGACACUCAGAGCUGACGCUGGGCUCAGGCCGGUCAGAGCCGGGUCACCCCGCCCAGAUCCCCUCGGGCACCCGCUCGGGGGCCCCCCGGGGCUUCCAGGAAGAGUCCGGGACGGAAUCCCCCGCCCUGGGGGCGCAGAGCCCCCCUCGCUCCCCGGGGCCGGGAAGCAGGGGCGAGGGUGCGGGGAGCACUGGCUCCUGGUCGCCGCUGGGGCUCCCCGGGACCCCUCCGGCCCGCCCCCCCCCGACCUCCGCGCCCCGGGCCGCCCCACCCGGGCUCCGACGGGCUCACCCUCGCACAUUUGAACCGAGGAGGCCGAGCGGCCGGGCGGGGCUCGCAGAUGCCAUUGGCUGCGGCGGCGGCGUGACAUCAGCGCGGAGGGCGCGGGAGGGAGGGCGCGGGAGGGGCCUGGGAGGGGAGUGUCCCGGAGGCUCGCCGCCCUGCGCGCCCGAGCAGAGGGAAGCCGACCCCGGCGCUGACAUGGGCCUCCAGCCCCGCGCCCGCCCGCAGCCCACGGAGGGGACAGCGCAGCCGCGCCGGCCGGGCGCCAGCAUCUCCGGGGACCCAGGAAGCAGGGAAUGGCUAUCUCCAGGAAAUGGGAUCUGCCCAGGCGUGGCAGCUGGGCAGUGGCACCCUUGGGUCAAUGAGCCUCAGUGGGAUGGGCAGCCAGGCAGGGGUGCUGGCGCAAGUACAGGGCACCCAGCCUGGGUCGAGGUAGGUUCUGGUCUUCCUUCUUGGUGGCUGCAACUACCAUGAAACACAAGAUGGGGCCUAAAGCGGGGCGGGCAUGAGAAUUGCGGGAGGCAGGGCUCUGGGCUGAGCCCACUCCUGAACAUGCCAGGGAAGUCCUGCUUCAGGGUGGUCCUCCCCACCCCCCAACUUCUCCCCUCCCAGGGAAUCAGAACAUGGGGAGGUUCCUCUGAGCAGGAAGCUGGAAGGAGAUCCUGAGUGAGGAAGAGCCAUCCCUGAGAGCAGAUCUCUGAUGGGAAGUCAAUCCAAGUGAGUCUUGGUUCCAAGGGUCUUCCAUUAGCAGCCUCCCCAAUGCCAUCCCACCCCCGUCUUCCACGGGCACAUUCUUGACUGGGGAUACCUGAAUGGGCCGGGAGGCGUCACCUCAUUCAGAAAACCAUGUGUCUGAGGUCGGUCACACGGGUUCAAGUGGGUCGAAGUCACCAUUUAGUAGCUAUGAGAGUGAUCCGUGUGGGGUGAGCCUCUCACCAUCUGAGCCUGUUUCCCUUUCUGUAAAAUGGGCACAGUCUUGACACCGUCCUUGCAGGGAGAGGGGCACAAGUUUCCCAUGUCCUAGCACAAUGCCUGGCAUGCAGCAGACCCCAGGGGAUGACGGUGUUGGUGCGUCUGCACAUGACUUGAUGGUGGAUGGCUUGUGGGAGCACUGUGGGGCUGGCGGUCCUGCGGGACCCCAGCCUUCCUCGGGGCUCCCUUGCAGCCACCAGAAGAGCAGAGCUAGGGCUGUCCAAGCGGCAGAAGCAGAACCUUCACCUGCCCGGGGCAUCUCGGAUAGCAUCCCACUGUGGGAUCACCCGGGUGGGAGGCUGGCCUGCAUCUCGGAGCUUUAGUGACGCUGGAGGUUGGCCAGUCUCCGGUGACGGUGCGGAGGGGAUGAGGGAUGAUGGCUAUCUUUCCCCUCCUGCUCGGUUGAGGAGGCUCAGGCGUCAGGAAGCAGCUGUUGGAGAGCAAGCUCUUUCGGGGGAGUCCUAAUCUCCAUGUCUCCCCUGAUUCCAGGCUCCCCUGAUUCCAGAUUGCCCACCCUCUCCUCCCAUGCGACCUAGAAUAAAAUGUGUCCGGCCUGGUGGGGAGGGAGGGAGGGAGGGAGGGAAGGAGGAAGGACAGACAUCCAUGGGAUAUUGGCACAGAGAGAGUGGACCCGGGACCCAAGCUCGGUGCCUUGUACUGAGCCUGAGAACUAGACUGUUCUGAGAUGGUUUUAAAAUUAACAUCUUCUCCUUGAGCCUUUGAUGCUUCGGGAUAUUAUUAUUAUUAUUAAAACAGCAUUACCACAUUAAAGGAAACAAACAGAAUGCCUGUUUGCCUCUCAAGCCUGACGUAACUCCUCAGUGUCUCUGUGUGCCCUUUUGGCCCGUAUUCGUGUAGACUUGUGAUCACUGUGUAUGAACAAGCAUGAGCGCCGCCUGUUUUCUUCUUCCCACUUGAUGCCAUUUAGGCCAGAAGUGGCCCAUGUGGCAGCCCGGUCUCCUUAGGUCACUUUCCAUGCCUACGUGUCAGUCGAUUGAGUUUCAAGGCUCUUCAUCCUCCCAACCGUUUCCUUAUUCUCGGCUCUUAGGUGGUUUCCAGCCUUUUGAGAUUGUAAAUAAGGCUUCUGUGCCUAGCUGGGUAUGUGACUCCUUUCCUGCCUUUUUCUUUUUUUAUAAGAUUUUAUUUAUUUGUUCAUGAGAAACACACAGAGAGGGAGGCAGCGACACAGGCAGAGGGAGAAGCAGGCUCCAUGCAGGCAGCCCGACGUGGGACUCGAUCCCAGGACUUCAGGAUUGGGUCCUGAGCCAAAAGCAGAGCUCAACUGCUGAGCCACCCGGGCGUCCCUCUUUUCCUGCUUUGAAAUCCUCCCAUAGGGUAGGCUUCCCGUGGUAGAGGUUGCUAAAUCAUACUCCUUUUGAAGCCGUUAUUUGCAGAACGCGCCUUAAUGGCCGGUGCCCCGAGACCACACUCUCUGGGUCGUGUGUGGCUGUUUUAGUGGCUGGGGCCCUGGUAUGAGAACAAAGGCCUGGCUCCCAUCCAUGACCGAAGGCAAGUCCCUUCAUGUGGCUUCACCAUCUCAGAGAGAGUGGUCAUCCCAUAUACGCAGGGAUUUUAAGGGGAUACUUGAUGCAGAUACACGAGUGUACCGGAGGGGUAAUGGUGAUCCUUCAUAUUCCAUCCUGGGCUUUUUUUUUUUUUUUUUUUUUUUUUUUGUGGCUGUUCAGGCUCAGAUUAUUUUAAGACCAUACUUCCUGGGGCCCCUGGGUGGCUCAGUGGUUGAGCAUCUGCCUUUGGCUCAGGGCUGAUCCUGGAGUCCCGGGAUUGAGUCCCACAUAGGGCUCCCCAUAGGGAGCCUGCUUCUCUCUCUGCCUGUGUCUCUGCCUCUUUCUGUGUAUUUCUCAUGAAUAAAUAAAAUCUUAAGAAAAGAAAAGACGGUGCUUCUUAAUCUCUUGGUGCAAACAGCACACUUUCAAAUUUGAGGACUUCUGGCAGUGCGGGUGAAGGAAGUAAAAGAUUCCACAUAGUCCUGAAGUCAGCUCAAACGGCAACAGCCUCCUGUGAGGUUCCUCCUGCAACACGUAGCAGCGUGGAUGGAGUGUCCACACCGCUCUCCCAUUCACGGAGCCGCCCGGCAGCCCCGUCCCGCUGUUGAAGGUAAACUCUCUUCUGCCUUCGCCGGGGCUUCUGAUCUUUGCAGGGUAGCUGCCAAGUGCUCCAGGAGGCACCGAAUCUUUCUCCGGCCACAAAAGCCCAAGUCCCUAAGCUCUUCUGGAGAGGAGCGGCCCGCGUUGCCCCAGGCUUCCCACACAGGCACUUCCCCCCUUGCUCCAGAGGGCAGUUUGGGCAAAGUUGAGCUCUUCUUGGUGGUGGGAUGUUGGUCGCACCCCUGGGAGAAAGGUCGAGAGGCCAGCAGGUAAGACCUGCCACUGCAGAAGGCUUGGCAUGGAGCCUGGAAGGCCUGCAGUCCCCUCUGAUCCUGCCCUCUCUCCCCCGCCGUCCCCCCAUCCCUCUCAGGCCCUCAGCAGCUCC
rnacentral:lncRNA from 1 species